ensembl:lncRNA
CAAAGAGAUGGAGAACUUGAGGCUGAACUAGUCAAGCACACCUCUAAUUGAGCCAGAGAGAACAAAAGCAGGAGCAUAGAAGUCAGCCAAAACACCAGACAGCAUCACACUGAAAGUGUAAAAAAAAAAGUCUGUAAAUAACUAAAGAUUAUCAUAUGUAAGCACAUACCUUGAUAGGGAGGUUUCCAAGACCAUCAGCAUCCCAGCUGAUGUCUCAUCAUUUUUUGCACACCCUGAUGGUUAUGGCCUCUGUUGUGCUCAUCUCUCCUUGAGUGUUGUGUGAACUCUACUUAAUCUGCAUUGCAAUGCUUACAGAAACUAAAAUCUCCAGUGCUGAUCAGCAAAAAUCAGAACUGACGAAUUGGCUUCUUUUUCAAAGCCUGCAAAUUCUGGUUGAAUUAGCCACGUCCCACAGAAUGACAAGAAGUGGAAUUCACUCAAAACUUUCUUGUUAGUCUACAAAACAGCUUAUAUUGAAGCCAAUCUGCCAAAAUGACAGCUUGUGGAAUUAUCUACUCUAUGAUAUAAUAGUGUGGGUAAACACGCCUCUGCGGAAGAUCAACGCCUGCUUCUACCUGCAUGCCUGUUUAGCCCAAGCCAAUGAUUCAUUCAUGUAGCGUUUACGAGAGAGGCGAACACACAGGUCUACGCAGAAACCAAAUGAUGACAACAAGAUGCUGUGCAGUGCCAAGCUGUGGAAAAACUGUCUUUGCAUUGCUUUCCUUCCGAUCCCGAUCGGAUAUGUUUACAAACAGGGCACAAUUCGAUGCAGGAUUUUCAGAUUGAAAUUAAAAGACAAUUCUGUCCCGACUACAUCCAACAGCAAUGUCACAACACACAACUGUGAGUAACUGUUUUUAUUAUGUUAUCACUAUUGCUUUGUCUGUAAAACAGCUAAUUUGAUAUGUACUGAGUAUAUAUAAAAUUUUAACCUAAAUCACAGCAGCAUCCAUUUGUGAAGGACUAUUAACCAAUCAUAGCAGUGGGUGUUUACUUCCGAGUCUACAAUCUACCACACCUAUUCAAACAGAGCGUUCUGAUGAGGGGGGUUAAAAAGAGGGCAGAAAAAAGUCUAUUACUUCUAAAUUAUGUUUUUAUUAUGUAAAAAUCUUGAUAGCAAGUGGACCUCAGAGAACAGUACAAAAUAAAAAAUGGAGGCAGUCCA